rnacentral:rRNA from 1 species
UACGUAGGGUGCAAGCGUUGUCCGGAAUUAUUGGGCGUAAAGGAGCUCGUGAGGCGGUCUGUCGCGUCUGCUGUGAAAACUCAGGGCUUAACCCUGAGCUUGCAGUGGGUACGGGCAGACUAGAGUGCGGUAGGGGAGACUGGAAUUCCUGGUGUAGCGGUGAAAUGCGCAGAUAUCAGGAGGAACACCGGUGGCGAAGGCGGGUCUCUGGGCCGUAACUGGACGCU